GAAGAACAACGGUUGUCUUCCUCGACUCUAAAAAAGAACCAGAUCUGAACUUUUCUGCCUCCGCGCUUCCCCAUAUUCCUCCUCUAUUCUUCACAACGAUUUUUCUUAUUCCUCACUUGUUUACCUUCAAAUACUGAAGGAUUCGGAGGGGGUGGACCUUCCGUGGGGUCGGAGGUCAAAGGUCGAUUAUUUAAGUUUUCCGGCAAUGCUCGGUGGCUGGCGGUGGGGUCCGUCAGCUAUUAUAGUCCGAGUAGAAUGGAGAGUCAACCUGCACCGAGAAGCCUCUCGCUAAACCUCCGCCGCCGUUCCUCUCAACAGCCACCGCGUCUUCAGUCCAAACGAUUGAUGGGAAACAGAUAAACAAAUUUCUGUUUAGAGAAAGCACAGAGACAGUAUUGUGCCACUUUUUCUUAUGCUAGCCUUUAUGCACAAGGUCAAAUGAGCUCUUUGUGCUAAGCCAGGCCACUUAUCACAUUCACAAUGAGUUUAUGAGGCCAGAAUUGGUCCGCUUCUCCCCCCGCUUAGUGAGGAGGUGGAUUUUCCAGGAUAUUUGCAUCUCUAUUUCUGACCAAAUAAGUGGUAGCAUUUACUCAUCUGGCCUUGUUAGCAUUGGAAUUGGUGCUAUGCCCCAGACACUGGAAAUUGGCGCUGACAAUAUAGAACCAGUUAGAUCCCAGAUUCCCAUACAAGUUCCUUCAUCUUACAUUUCAAUUGGCGAUGGUCCACAAACUCUGAAAAUGACAGCAUUCCUUCAGUCUCUCGUGCUUUGGCCAGCUACUGAUGGAACCUUCCAGUUAUGCAAAAGAACCUGGAAAUGCUGCACAUCCUACUAAUGCAGCUCUGUCUUCCGAGCAUCCUGGGACAAAAGCCACUUAUAACCUUUGGUGAUGCAUUGGAUAUGUACCAUACCAUCUCAGAGAAGGAAAGAAUUUCUGUUUGAGUCAGAUUGAAGAGUUGUGUGCCAAUCCUAUUGUAUUUGAGGCCACUGAGAUCAUUUCUAGAGCAGUCAUUUCAGCUGGAAUCACAAACAGAGUUGACACCGAUGAAUGGAAUCCAUCCACUGAUACACAUCUUCCUCGAUUGAUAACCUCUCUGGAAAUGUUGUGAUACACCCAAAAUUUUAACUAUUAUUCCAGCAGUUGUGUUUGUCUAUGACAGUUUGAUCAACUAGCACGGGACCAAGUUUUCUAUAGAUUGCAAACUUGAGUUUGCUCGUACUGCUUGCUCAUCUAAAUUCUGCUGCUGGGCUGCGCUGCAAGCAAAACUCGUUCCUUUGUUGAGAGCUCACUUUACUGUUGAUCAAGUUCCAGAGAUGUCCAUUGUUCUUCAAUAGUUCUCGCUUCCGGUAUAGGGGUGUGAUCCUGGCGCCACCCCUCACUUGCUUUCUGUGCAAACAAAUAAUGAAGCACAAGUCUGAAUAACAGCUGCCGAAAAGGUUACAAAUUCUGUCGGAUUCUUUGUCUUGCUGUCCAGCAUAUUAGGAGCUAUGGAAGAGCUAACUUCUAAAUGAGGCAAGAUGAGAGAAGAAAUACCUAACCCCCAUCACCUAACUUCCAAAGCAAACAAGGGAGUAUUUUGUUUCCGCUCACAUUUUCUCGUCCUUCACAUAAAGGGCAAUGUUAAUAUUAAGAUUUUGGGUUAGGGUCUUUGUGUGCAUUUUGAUUAUGUGGUUGUAAAUAUUUUGAUUAAUUUCUCUUCGAUUCGUUGAUUCUGAAGUUUCCCUUUUCAGCAAUGUAUAUAACAAUGCGAAUACUGAAGAAGUUAUGUGUUUUUAAAUGGCAGGACUAUGCCACGGAGCCUGAUGAGAAGCUUAUACGAAAUGCAGCACAUUUGAUGGUAGCAAGGUUGAGUCUAAGGCUGCGUAGCAAGCAUAACUCGGUCACGUGUUGAGAGAGCUACUUCAGUGUUGAUAAGUUGUAGAGAUCUCCCCUGUUCUUUAACAGUUCUCGCUUCCGGUACAGGGGUGUGAUCAUGGCACGACUGCUUACUUGCUUUUUACCCAAACAUGAGCUAACUUCUAAAUGAGGCAAGACGAGAGAAGAAAUAACUAACCCCCAUCACCUAACUUCUAAAGCAAACAAGGGAGUAUUUUGUGUCCGCUCACAUUUUCUCGUCCUUCACAUAAAGUGCAAUGUUAAUAUUAAGAUUUGGGGUUAGGGUCUUUGUGUGCAUUUUGAUUAUGUGGCUGUAAAUAAUUUGAUUAAUUUCUCUUUGAUUUGUUGAUUCUGAAUUUUCCUUUUUCAGCAGUGUAUAUAACAAUGUGAAUACUAAAGAAGUUAUGUGUUUUUAAGUGGCAGGACUAUGCCACGAAGCCUGAUGUGAAUUGAUUCUGAAGUUUCCUUUUUCAGCAGUGUAUAUAACAAUAUGUGAAUACUAAAUAAGUUAUGUGUUUUUAAGUGGCAGGACUAUGCCACAGAGCCUGAUGAGAAACUUAUACGAAAUGCAACACAUUUGAUGGUAGGAAGGUUGGCAGGAAGUCUUGGUAAUGUAACCUGUAAGGUUGAGUGUAAGGCUGCGUAGCAAGCAGAACUCGGUCCCGUGUUGAUAGCUCUACUUCAGUGUUGAUCAAGUUCCAGAGAUGUCCCCUGAUCUUCAGCAGUGCUGUAACCACUACUCGUAAGAUUUUUAUGCUAGUGCACUUUGAGCACACAGUUUUGUAGGGACUAACCUGGAGUUGUCCUGGUUCUCACUUCUGGUAUAGGGGGACACCACCCCUUACUUGCUUUCUUCGUAAACAAGGAAGUAUUCUAUCUCCCUAUACAUUUUCUUGUCCUUCACAUUUAAGCUAAUGUUUAGAAUAGUUUUGAGGUGUGGUUGUUUGCGUGCAUUCUUCUUUUUGUGGUUGUAAUUUAUCAUAUUUGUGUGUGUAUGCAAGGUUUUCUCUAUUGAUUUUCACCAUAAAUACUUUUUAUGGGUUAUUAGUUUCGACUAGUUUAUCUCAAGGGUUGGAGAACUAAGAUUCCAUAAUUUAAAACACCUAACUUAGUAGUAUUUUAAUAAUAUGUGAAAAUGAACAAUACAGCUGAACAAGACAUGCUGCCGAACAAGACCAAGUACAUAUCUUAUAGUAUUUUCUAUGGUCUCUUGAUAUUUUCUCUCUGGUGAACGUGGAGUUUGUUGAUGUUUUUUCUGAUUAAUGGGAUUUACUUUUUAAAGCAAUAAUACUAGCAAAUAACUGAUAUAAAAAAUUUGGUAAAAAUUGUGUUAAUUUAAUCCAUUGUGUAAUAUUGUUUCUAUUUUGCCUUUGUUGCAUUUAAACCUUGUAUACAUGCAGUCCAAACCAUAGAUGGGAAACAGAUCAACAACUUUCUAUUAGGAGAAAGUAUAGAAAGUGUUGUGCAACUAUUUUUUAUGCUAGCUAGACCACCUGUCACAUUCACAACAACGAGUUUAUGAGGUUAUUCUCUGACAAAUUCUAGGACAUCUAAGUUGAUUCAGGUGGUCAGGCAAGAAUCGAUACAUCCAGAGCUCAAAUGCAUUUCCAGUUUGACCCUCCGCUUCAUCAAUAGGUGGAUUUUCCUAUCAAUUUGUAUCGCUACUUCUGACGAAAUGAGUGUUAGCACUGGAAUUGGUGCUAUGCCCCACACACCCGAAAUUGGCUCUGACGAGAUAGAACCUGUUGGAUCCCCGAUACCUCCAAGUUAUUGAUGGAACCUUUCAGUUAUGCAAACGAACCUGGAAAUGCUGCACAUCAUACUAAUGCAACUCUGUCUGCCGAGCAUCCUGGGACAAAUGUACCAUACUAUCUCAGAGAAGGACAAUAUUUCCGAUGAUGCACCAUAUAAUUUCACAGGCUGGGUUUGGUCUAGAAGUGGGGAUGAUGUCAAUCCUACAUGGAGCUAAGGAGGAGUUAACUUCUAAAUUUGGCAAGAUAAGAGAAGAAAUACCUAACCCCCAUCACCUAACUUCAAACGCAAACAAGGGAGUAUUUUGUUUUCGCUCUCAUUCAUUUUCUUGUCCUUCACAAAAAGGACAAUGUUAAGAUUAAGAUUUGGGGUGAGGGUGUUUGUGUGCAUGCUUGAUUAUGUAGUUGUAAAUAAUUUGAUUAAUUUCUCUCCGAUUCGUUAAUUCUGAAGUUUCCAUUUUCAGUAGUGUAUAUGACAAUGUGAAUACUGAAGAAAUUAUGUGUUUUUAAAUGGCAGGACUAUGCCACAGAUCCUGAUGAGAAACUUAUACGAAAUGCAACACAUUUGAUGGUAGCAAAGUUGGCAGGAAAUCUUGGUAAUGUAACCUGUAAGGUUGAGUGUAAGGCUGUGUAGCAAGCAGAACUCGGUCCAGUGUUGAUAGCUCUACUUCAGUGUUGAUCAAGUUCUAGAGAUGUCCCCUGUUCUUCAGCAGGGAGGUGUUAUAGCUGUAACCACUGCUCGUAGGGUUUUUACGCAAAGGAGUCAAUGUGGAGUUAACUUCUCUGGAGCCAAGAUGAGAAAAGAAAUACCUAACCCCUACAACCUAACUUCCCACACAAACAGGAGAGAUCUCGCUUAUCACAUAAAGGGAAAUGUUAAGUUUCAUUUUGGGGGUGUGGGUGUUUGUGUUUGUGUUUGUGUUUGUACCAUGUGCCCUUUGUAUUUUGUGUAUAGUAAUAGUGUAGUGUGUUA